rnacentral:misc_RNA from 1 species
GAUGAAGAACGUAGCGAAAUGCGAUACGUAAUGUGAAUUGCAGAAUUCAGUGAAUCAUCGAAUCUUUGAACGCACAUUGCGCCCCCUGGUAUUCCGGGGGGCAUGCCUGUUCGAGCGUCAUUACAACCCUCAAGCUCAGCUUGGUGUUGGGCCCCGCCGCCCCGGCGGGCCCUAAAGUCAGUGGCGGUGCCGUCCGGCUCCGAGCGUAGUAAUUCUUCUCGCUCUGGAGGUCCGGUCGUGUGCUCGCCAGCAACCCCCAAUUUUUUUCAGGUUGACCUCGGAUCAGGUAGGGAUACCCGCUGAACUUAAGCAUAUCAAUAAGCGGAGGA